ensembl:lncRNA
GGCACAGGAAGCGAUCGUUUGAGUUUAAGUGGCCGCGGGCUGUUUUUGAAUGGCUGACACUGGCUUGUUUAUGUACCUGAUGGCUCCCUUGGUCUGCUGAUUACAUGUGACCUUGAGUGACCUUAGAGACCAUCAAUUGGAGGAAGGGGGUGAGCCGGAGAGUUGUUUGAGGAAGCCACUAGAAAAGAAAGAAAAAACAACUUUCAUGUUGUCUCCUCUGUCCCCCUGCCUGGGCGUCCAUCUUACCUUUCACAGCCUGGGCUCAGUGACCCCAAAUGCUUCCAGAUGUCUGGAACUCUGACCUGAGCCCCAGCGGCCCAGAUCAUACAUCCACCCCACCCCCACAUCCCUCUGCACCCUGCAGCCCACUGACAGAGCCUCCCCACGGACAGACAGCUCACCACCAUCAACCUCCACAUCUGGAGCCCAUUAGGAAGGAGACAGUCAGAGAGAGAGAGAGCGCUAAAGAGAAUGGGGUGGGGGUUCAGUUAAACUAGAGUUUGGCUGGAAUUGCGGUUUGAUCUCUCCUCAUGCCAUUACCUUUUAUAAAAGACACUUUUCUUAUGAAUAGCCCUGUAUAGUAAUAAUCACUGUGCUCUUGUGUUGAUAAUCUCAGAGGGAAUGAUAAUAAAAAAAAUAAAAAGUUAUUAGAGUUAUGGCCACAUGGGUUAUAGUCUCAUGUAUAUAUUAUAUAUCAUAGUCUCAUGGGUUAUAGACUUGUACAGAUAACAUAACAUUUUAAUGGAAUAAUUAAAAAAAGGAGUUCUUGCCAUAUAGCAAUUUAUUGUAAUCAUGGGCUGUCAAACAAAAACCCCAUCUAGAUGCACCACAGUGCAAAAAUAGACUUCUUAAUGCCUUUUUUAAAGACUUAUAUUCUAGCAAAAAUGUCUAAAAAUCAUAAAAAAUUACUUGAGAAGAAACACUGCAUAACAUGGAAAAAAUCUGCCAGUUCAGUAAGACAGAAAACAUUUAUAUUAAAGAUCUAAAACAAGUUUUAAUAUCUUAUGUAGUUUUGUU